CACCAGUGGCGCAGGGCGGCUGUCUGGUCUGUAACUGACGCCGAGGCUCUGAAAGUAUGGGUAGCAAACAGGAUUUAGAUACCCUGGUACGUCCAUACCGUAAACGAUGAAUGCUAAGUGUUGGAGGGUUUCCGCCCUUCAGUGCUGCAGCUAACGCAUUAAGCAUUCCGCCUGGGGAGUACGGCCGCAAGGCUGAAACUCAAAGGAAUUGACGGGGGCCCGCACAAGCGGUGGAGCAUGUGGUUUAAUUUGAAGCUACGCGAAGAACCUUACCAGGUCUUGACAUACUAUGCAAAUCUAAGAGAUUAGACGUUCCCUUCGGGGACAUGGAUACAGGUGGUGCAUGGUUGUCGUCAGCUCGUGUCGUGAGAUGUUGGGUUAAGUCCCGCAACGAGCGCAACCCUUAUUAUCAGUUGCCAGCAUUAAGUUGGGCACUCUGGUGAGACUGCCGGUGACAAACCGGAGGAAGGUGGGGAUGACGUCAAAUCAUCAUGCCCCUUAUGACCUGGGCUACACACGUGCUACAAUGGAUGGUACAACGAGUUGCGAACUCGCGAGAGUAAGCUAAUCUCUUAAAGCCAUUCUCAGUUCGGAUUGUAGGCUGCAACUCGCCUACAUGAAGUCGGAAUCGCUAGUAAUCGCGGAUCAGCAUGCCGCGGUGAAUACGUUCCCGGGCCUUGUACACACCGCCCGUCACACCAUGAGAGUUUGUAACACCCAAAGUCGGUGGGGUAACCUUUUAGGAACCAGCCGCCUAAGGUGGGACAGAUGAUUAGGGUGAAGUCG
rnacentral:rRNA from 2 species